GUUGUGUUUGGAAAGAGCCGGUGACCAGCACACAAUUCAAGGACACAAGGAAGUCAGGGACAGAGAAGCCAGAGAAGGAGGAAGAACAUGCAGGGUUGGGACUAUCGAUGUGAGGGCCUGGCCAAACCAAGGGGAAGAACACAUGAGGAGCAGACCCAUGUGAGGCUGGACACAGACACUGAUGGAAAAAAGACAGGCUACAUAUAGGAGAAUGACCAGGAGGAUGAAUACAGAGAGGCUUGGAGAGACUUACAUGAACUGAUGCUAAGUGAAAUGAGCAGAACCAAGAGAUCAUUAUACACUUCAACAAUGAUACUGUAUGAGGAUGUAUUCUGAUGGAAGUGGAUUUCUUCGACAAAGAGAAGAUCUAACUCAGUUUCAAUUGAUCAGUGAUGGACAGAAGCAGCUACACCCAAAGAAAGAACACUGGGAAAUGAAUGUAAACUGUUUGUAUUUUUGUUUUUCUUCCUGGGUUAUUUUUACCUUCUGGAUUCAACUCUUCCUGUGCAACAAGAGAACUGUUUGGUUCUGCACACAUAUAUUGUAUCUAGGAUAUACUAUGACAUAUUUAACAUAUAUAGGAUUGCCUGCCAUCUAGGGGAGGGGGUGGAGGGAGGGAGGGGAAAAGUUGGAACAGAAGUGAAUGCAAGGGAUAAUGUUGUAAAAAAAAAAAAAUUACCCAGGCAUGAGUUCUGUCAAUAAAAAGUUAUAAUUAUUAAAAAAAAAUAGAAA